CGUAUGAACAUCACGUGAACUACGGAAAUAAUAAUAAUAAAAUUGAUAUACCAAAAAAUUAAGAAACUAAAACAUAUUAAAUGUUUUAAUGUCAGACAUUAUAAUUUUAGUGAAUAGUGAGUGCAAAAAUUCAUGAUAAUUACUAUGAACAUUAGUUUAGAAGACGAAAUAAAAUUGUUUUGGGAGUACGUUAAGCGUGACAUGGGAUAGCAAACCAUCAUUCCCGUCCUGGAUUCAGUGUUCAACAGUAUACAGAAGUAAGAACGAUGUUCAAAAUAGGAGUAAUAUUAGUAAUUGUAGCUUCAGCUUUAUCAGCUGAAAUACCAUCACAUUUAGAAAAGGAUCCUUACAAGCCUGAUAUUGAUGUUGAGACCCACGCUAUUAAUAAUGUACCUUCCAAACUUGACUUGGAACGUCAUCCAGUAUACAGGUCAGAAGAACUUAGAAGUACUGGCCGUGCAAGAAUAGAACAAGUGCUAGUUCAGGGAGGUAAUGUGAAACAUGAUAUGUUAGCUGAUGAACCAGCUCCAGCCACAGAAGUUAAUAGAAUCGAUUCAGGUUUUCCAUUCUCUGCUCCUGUAGAAGUAGCAUAUCCAGAUAUUCCUUACGCCCCUGGUUAUGGAUAUCCAAAUAACGGAUAUUCUGCACAAAACAGUUAUGACGUAUAUGGCAACAAUCCAUCCGAUUACUACAUGGAACCAGACACGUCAUCUUUUGGAUUACUUUGGAGUCAAGUACCUGAUUCGAGGACCCUAGUUAGCUACGCUGGAAGAACCAUUGGUUGGAUAUUCAGUAGUAUAUUCGUAUUAAUGAUCGGAUCUUUCUUGACUAUAAGCGUUUGUACUUACACUAAUUUCUGCAAGAUUACCUUUAACGGAGUUGGUCCUAUCCAUGAAGAGAUGCGUUCUCUGAUUACACCAGAGAGGUUGGAAAAAAUCAGUCAUGCUGCCGAUUUUGUGAAAACCGCAAUAGACAAAUAUCAAAAAAUUAAAAUGGUUGAACCCGGCACAAGAAAACGGAGAGCUGCUUUCUACUGAGAUAAAUGUGAUCCUCGGGGAAAAUUAUGUUAAUUCAAGUGUUAAACUUGAAAAUAUAUUACACGUAAAUUAUAGAAUUUAAAAAUUAAUUAAGUAAAUAAAAAAAGAUGUUGAAGAUCAUAAUCAUCGCUUCCAUAGUAUCUACUGCUUUCUCAAAACAAUAUGCGUACAUCGACAAUAAUCUAGUGGAAUUUGCGGAUCCUACUCCUCUACCUUAUCCGUAUCAGGAACUUAAUCCUUUAAAUGCUUCACAACAAUCUAAGUCCGGAAUCCAAACUGCUGUCAGUUUAGGACAGGUGGUACCUAAUGUCGAAACUGAAGCCGUCGUGGAAUCUCCGUUAAGUGUUCUUGGUUCUUUGGUGUUGAGUGCUAUUGGAUGUCUGAAGAGAAUAUUUGUGAAUAUCAUUACCACCAUACCAACCUUAAUCUUUUCCUUAUUCGGUAUUUACAAUUUUGCCUCGCUUUGCAAGUAUUUCAACGUCCAGACCAUUUUAAGCAAAACAGAAUUAGGUUCCUUUAUGACCACAGACAAAUUGAAAAGAGCAGUAGAAUUUGUGGAAACAGCAAUCAAUAAAUAUAAUACAGUUCAAAAUUAUAAGGCUUAGUUUAAGAAAUUUGUUUUAUUUAAUUCUUACCAAAUUGUCAUAAAAGUGAUUACUUAACAUCUUGUUUUAUUAGUUUUAUAUGUUAUUUUAUUUGCAAUCAAUUUGUUUGUUGCAAGUCUAGAUUUUUUUAGUAUGAUAAAUUUCUGGGCCUUCCAAAUAGCGUGACUAAUAGAUUAUGCUAUUAACUCUUCAUACAUUUUCUAUGUAUCUACUUCUAUCUAAUCUUGAUCAAUUCAUAUUGUAUCUUAUGAGCAGGCAUUAAUAAAAGUUUUUAAAGUUAUAAUUAACUAAACAAAUUUGAGAUCAUAGAUGACCGUCGUAAGCUAACGAGGAGGACUUUUAAUAUUUUGUAGAAUUACAUAGGUAAUAUUUUUCAUAUACUUUAAAACGAAAAUUUCCUUUUAUGGUUUGGCUGUUUAAAAGGGUGUUUUACUCUGACCUGCAUAUACAUAUAGUGUAAGCGUUAAAGUUGUUCCACAAGUUAAGAUAACCUUGUGUAUGAUGUCACUCCGUAGCAAAUUAUUUUCGUCCUAAUGACUCAGACAUAAUACUGAGAAUGAACCAUGACAGACGAACAGUGUUUGCGAAUUAAAGUGUGGUUAAUGUCGUGUUACAAAUUAACGAAAUGUAUAAUAAAUAAUAAAUGAUGUAUUUUAAAUCUACAUUAUAAAACAAAUAACCUUAAACGGAGGCAACAAUAACAAAAAUAACAGUGAACUUGAAUCUCCAGACAAAUAAUUGUUUUAGUGCCGACAAAGUAAAUAAUAAAAACAACGGUUCAAAGUUAUAUGUAUGCGGGCUGUGUCAUUGCCGUCUUAUCUUAAGAACUGCGUGAUACCAUAUGUUUUAACAAAGUAUUCAUAGCAGUUGCGAUUUUGCUUUGUAUGUGCAUGGUACUCUUAUCACCACGUCAUCUGCCAAGCAUUGUUUAUUGCAUUCAACCGUUAUCAAGACUUUAUCUGGUGUGUUACAGUAAACCACAAAGUACUAACAGACUUACAUGAGAUUAGCUGUGUUCAGGACACGAAUCGGGAUCAAAAAAUGGGUAAUUCUAAAAGUAAGAAGAUGAAAAUCACCCAAAGCGACGGCCAACAGACGAAUGACAAUCGAGAACGCAUUAACACCAUCAAAACCGAAACAAAUGAUGUGGAUUUAACUAAGAAAAAUAUUGAAGGAGAUUCUAAUAACGAACAAAUAGAAGAAAAAAGUAAUGACAACGCCAGUAGUGCAUCUACAGUGGAGGUUUUAGAUGAUAAGUGAAAAAUGUGCCAAAUUAUGAUUAAUAAAUUUAUUUGUAAUUUUUACAAGUGCAAUCUCCUUAAGGCUAUCUCUUAACAAUGUGUUUUUGUAAUGUAAAAUAAAAAUCAAUUAUUAAAAAAA